rnacentral:lncRNA from 1 species
GCCAAAGGAAUAAAGAAUGUCCCAUACAGUAUCUAUGUGCAGUUGUCCAGAAAACGUAAUGAGGAUGAAGAUCCUCAUUAAGUAAGUUGUAUACUUUGGUUGCCUAUGUACCUGCUACCGCUCUCAAGAAUCUACAGACAGUCAACGUGGAUGAGAACUAACCAGUGAUUGUCAAAUAUAUCAAAGUUAUAAAAUUGCGGACUAUGCUUCUAAAUUAUGUACCACACUGCUGCAUUGAUUCAGGCCUUUGUUUGAAGAAUGUAUUGAGAUAUUGAGGGAAGCUGGCAUAUGAAGUGGAGAAGGAGGCAGAACUGGCCCUACAUGUGCACACACGAACACUGCCUUCUACUGAGAUUGCAAGGUGCCAUGGAAGUAUCCUGGGUCUUUGUAUGCAGCCUAGAAAGGAGGACUUUAUAAACUGCAUAACAUCUUCUGCUCUUUCCCAGGUCUUCGGGAUAUAAUUCAAUUUCAUGAUGCAAUUAAGAAAGAAGUCUAAACCAAAGGACACUUACCGCACUGCAGCAACAUGUGGCUAUUUAUCUAGCGUGAUUUCACAGAGAAUUUUUAGGUCAUCCAGGGUUUCUGUGCCUGUAGUUUUUCAUCUCUCAAAAUGGGAUUCCUGACUCAUAGUGUGGGGCGAGGCUGAAAAUGCAUGGUAUAUAUGGAAAUGCUUUCUAACUGGAAGGUGACUAAGGACACAGGUACUGUGGUGUGGUCCUCAGAGCAAAUCCUUUGUGCUUCUUUCUUUUUUAUUAUACUUUAAGUUCUGGGGUACAUGUGCAGAACGUCCAGUUUUUGUUACAUAGGUAUGCAUGUAUAGGUAUGCGUGUGUCAUGGUGGUUUGCUGUAACCAUCAACCUGUCAUCUACAUUAGGUAUUUCUCUUAAUGCUAUCCCUCCCCUAGCCCCCCACCCCCUGACAGGCCCCAGUGUGUGAUGUUCCACUC